UGCCUUCCUCGAUACCAUUCUGGACCUAACCACCCGCCCAGGGUGGCUUCAUGGAACUUACAUGUAGCUCCCAGCUGGGAUUUCUUGCAUCUGUGACAACCAUUUACCUUAGACAUACCUCUGAUCUCACUGAGGCUGACACAUAACACAUGCACUGGGGUUAGCCAGAGAGGUACACAGAGUGGUAGCAUUAGGUCAUAUGUCAUAGAGUGUGACAUUAGGUCACAUGUGCCAUCCAUUCUACCCUAGGAAACUUCAAUUAUGACUUCUGUCACAUGCCAUCUGUCAGCAGAUAGAUGAUGGUGAUGUUUAUCUUGAAGGGCCUACUGAAUUAAAGCUCAGAUUCUCAAAGAGAGUGAAAUGGCAGAUGACGUAUAUUUGUGGGUUUCAGCUGGGAAGGACUCAGGUUCGCUUUUGAGUUUUGACUGAAUUCUCAGCAAAUGACUGGAACUAAGAAGCUGCAGCCAAAGCUGCCAUGCCCCUGCCUCCGCUUCCAGGGAGUCUCAGACAUCUAGCUGCUUCCCCACAGCUCUGCAUAGGCUGUUCCAGGCAGCGGGGGUGGGGUGGGGGGGGGGUAGGGAGGGUGCUUACCUCCCAGUCAGUGUCCCGACUGCAACCACAGACCCGGAAGGAUGAAAACCAGAGGACUGAGCUGGAUCCUAGAAUAUUUAAAAGAAGUGUAACUAUGUGGCCAGACAGAGCAAGACAGCACAAGCCCCACCCGUGCCAUGUUCUUCUCGGGCUCCAUGGCUCUGUUUGAAAAGCCUCUUUUCUCCUUACAGGAGAUGCAGGCCCACUAGGGUCCUUGUCACACUUCCAUCAAACAUAUACCUGCCUUUGGAAUUUCUUUGUCUCCCCUGUAGUAUGUCCUAUCUACAGUAAUCACAAAAGACAGGCAGGUGAGUGCUCUUCUCUGGGCCAUAGUUUGUGCAUCCGGAUCUCCGUCUGACCCCUAAGCCCAGUAGGAAGCCUGUCAAAUGGUGUGCUUGGUUCAUCUGGGAGCACAACCACUGACCACUGCUCGAGCAGGAGUGGAAAUUGGAGCCACAGAAACGCUACUAGAUAAAUUGAAACCACAAAAGCAGAUAGAGAUUCCAGAUGCCAGCCACACCAUCUUUAACCGCUUUCUAAAGAGUCAGAGCAAAGCUAAAGUUCUUCAAUCUGCAGGGCAGGAUGGUACGAUGCAUUCACAGCUGGGGCUCCAACAGCUCAGGAAGACAAGCCUGAUGUCCGUGCAGGGGAAGGGAUUUUAACAAUCCGAUAAUAAAUCUGUGUUUCCCCUGUGAA